rnacentral:rRNA from 1 species
UACAAACAGUCGGAGCCUCGUAAGGGGUGACGGCGUACCUUUUGUAUAAUGGGUCAGCGACUUACGUUCAGUAGCAAGCUUAACCGUAUAGGGCAGGCGUAGCGAAAGCGAGUCCGAAUAGGGCGUUCAGUUGCUGGGCGUAGACCCGAAACCAGGUGAUCUAUCCAUGGCCAGGAUGAAGGUGCGGUAACACGUACUGGAGGUCCGAACCCACUAACGUUGAAAAGUUAGGGGAUGAGCUGUGGAUAGGGGUGAAAGGCUAAACAAACCUGGAAAUAGCUGGUUCUCUCCGAAAACUAUUUAGGUAGUGCCUCGUGUCUCACCUUCGGGGGUAGAGCACUGUCAUGGUUGGGGGGUCUAUUGCAGAUUACCCCGCCAUAGCAAACUCCGAAUACCGAAGAGUGCAAUCACGGGAGACAGACAUCGGGUGCUAACGUCCGGUGUCAAGAGGGAAACAACCCAGACCGCCAGCUAAGGUCCCCAAAUAUAGCUAAGUGGGAAACGAAGUGGGAAGGCUAAAACAGUCAGGAGGUUGGCUUAGAAGCAGCCACCU